rnacentral:rRNA from 1 species
UUGAAAGGGAAACGAUUGAAGUCAGUCGUACCAGCGGAUAAUCAGCCUUUAGAUGCGAUUUUGUGGAGCGUGAAGAGCUAAUCGCCUUCAUGCCUGUAUAUUCGUGUACUUGGGGUGUACUUAUUCGUGUGGUAAGUUAACAUCAAUUUUGGUUGUCAUAAAAUGAUUGGAGGAAUGUAGCUUCGAUCUCGUAUUGAAGUGUUAUAGCCUUUGGUAGAUGUGACGAUCGGGAUUGAGGAUUGCAACGGAUACCCUUCGGGGCUACCUGUCUGAUCUCUGAUUGUUGCUCUGGUGCCGAAAGCUUGCUUACGGUUAUCAAAGUCGAUGGUCAAUAGGUUAGAAUGGGUUAAAUUCGUUAAGGAUGUUGACGUA